UUUUUUUUUUUUUUUUGGGGUUACCCUUCCACCCUUCGUACUCCCAAUCAAACCUUUGACCGUGUGUGUAAAUAGUGAUACAUUACCGCCUCAUUUUCUUACUCGGAAAAAGAAAAACUAUCCAAAUAAUUUCUAUGCAUGUCAAGGGGGAAAAAAAAGGAAUAAAAAGGAAAGUUGCAAUCCGAAAUGCCCAUUUCCUUCCCCUGCGGUGGCAUCAAAUGCUGGACCCAUAUAAAGUCAGGCUGAAGAAAUGGGCUAAAGAAGCGGUGGUUCUCUGGAUAGGAACCGACGAACAUUUUGGUAAAAUUGUUGCAGCAGUCCCCACCGCUGCGAUGUGUUGCGUCCUUCGUCAGCGUCUCGUAUCGAGAAUGGUAUAAAUCUCGGCCUCAUCUUCCUAACAAGUGCACUGAAAAUAAUAAAAAGAUAGUUAAAAAAAUACUCCCCCCUUUUUUUAUAACUGACGUUUAAGAAAUUUGCUCUUAAGUACUUUUAUCUGUCUUUUUAUUAUCCCCAUGCAACAUUAAUUAUUUUUUCACAAUUUAACCCUUUUAUCUCUCUUUUCAUAAUUGGUGGGAGUUAGUUUGCAUUGCUUUUGGCCUAGUAAAACAGCACCAUUUAAUACUCUAGUGAGAGAAAACAUGGGUGAAUUGGAUAAUUAAUGAGGGUACAAAAGGAAAGUAGUGUAUAAAUUUAAACAAUGAAAAACUUUUCUUAAUUGGUGUGCAAAACCUUAAACGUCAGUUAUAAAAAAAGGGAGGGAGUAUAAAUAAUUCAUACAUGAUUUUCCCACCUACCAGACUUGAUCCUCUUUGGAUUUAUUUUUAUACUUGCAAGGGAGGUAAGACGUGUGUAUAUGUCGUAAAGGAGUAUAUGAAAGGUCCAUGACAUGCAUUGCAUUCUUUGCAUAUUUUAAUCCAAUCCAGCCUCUUGGCCUUGUAUUAUAUUAUCUGCUAUAUAUAUAUAUAUUCCCUAAUCCCUUGUUUUUUUUUUUUUUUUCCCUUCAUAGAUCUAGCUCCUUUCUUUAUGAUUUGAUCAUCUCCACAUUCUUUUUUUUUUCAAGAACAUACCGGAUUGCUGUUCCUCCAGCAGAGCACUAUUCAUGUUAUGUUCUGUUCCAUGGAAGGCAAAGUUGGAGCAAUAGCCGACGCUGACAAUACAUAUAGUGGCGGAUAUGUAGAACGCAUUUUAUUGUUUUUCGCCUUUUGUUACAUUUCCUUUCAUAAAAGAAAUUUACACAAGAGUGUGCUGGAUUGAAAGUAUUUAAUCCAUCAUUAGAUCUUGCACGCAAUCAAAUUGACUUGAUUACCAAAGCAACCGAGAGCUCGAAUUCAGCUGAGCCUGCGUUAGUUUCCAACUAAUAAUAAAUCAACUAGCAAUGAGGUCAAAAUUAGCAAUAUUGGUAAUAAAAAAAAAUUUUUUUUUUGGUCUUGCUCCAAGCAAAAUAUAGAACGGGAAGGGUUUAAUAAGGAUUCAAAGGAAAAACCUCAAGAGCUUCGCAAAUGAGAGUCUUUGUUUAAGUGGUCAGUGCAAGCCACUGAAUCCAUAAAAAAGGCCAGUAACUACUUAGUUCCUUUUUAAACGAUAGGUCGGAAGUUCGAAUUCACUCGCACUGAAAAAAAUUUAAAAGGGGUACCAAAACACUCAUUUGGUUUAAUUAGAUUCUUAUAUUUAUUAGCCAAUAUUAUAGUUGUUGUAAAAAAAAAAUCAUAAAUUGAUUCAAUAGAUAAAAACGAAUUACUUUCUCAUAAAAAUGAAUGGUAUUUGAGUUUCGUGAUCCAUGUAAUGACUAAUAUUGGUGAGUAAUUUAUAAAUACUCCUGUAAGUAAGCGAUUUUUAAUUUCGGAAGCAUGUCUCAUUGGCAGCUAAAAUCACUCAAAUUUUCUCUCUACCAACAAAAAAUAAAAGAAUAAAAAAUAUAAGCCAAGCCAAGCCAAGCUGCGUGAGAUGGGAACAAACAAACGAAGCAAAAGGCAAACACACGUCAGUGCAAGUAAUGGGCAACUGCCCCCAUUUACGUACAUUCAUUGCUACUGCUUCCUUCAAUUUCUCUUUCUCUUUAGCUUUCGUCUUUCUUUUGGCUUCAUUAGCAUAGGCUGUAUAGCAAACAACUCCCAUUAUUAUUUUAGUUGCGAAAAACCUCACUUCUUUUUUUUUUUUUUUUUUAAAAAAAUCUCCUAAACUGAGGAAGCUAAAAUCUUAAAUCUUCUGUUAAUAAGUUUAAUUUGCACCAACUCAUCAUCUUCCUCUCCACCUCAUUUCAUUGCAAAACAGACCUCACUGCCCUUUUCUCUUUUUCUUCUUUUCUUUGAAAGGGUCUUCUCUGAUCACCUAAUUAAAUUAAAGCCCAAAACUAUGAAACAAUUGAAUGGUAGCUACAACCUUAAUGUCAAGAAGAACCCAUUUUCCUCAAUUCUUGUUAAGUUUGUCAUUUGUUUUCUAUUACUUGGGCUUGCUUAUCGUCUGUAUUCCUCAAGUUACGUGCAGUUCUCCCCUGUUGAGGUUACUACUGAAACAACAACGAUUAAUGGGGACGAUGAUGUGGGCCCCCAGUCAUUGCCACCUCCGGUGAUCAGCGGGUUACCGCCGGUUUCCACCAUUGAUCCUCCUCCGGAGGCUGUUGAUGUCAACAAGAAUACAACCUCUCAGGCUGGUUAGUCCAUAAUUCUCCUUUAAUUUCUUUUAAACCCUUCAAUGCAUGACUGAAUAAUUUGUUGAACUAUUGUUAUUAUUCUAUGUUUUAAAGAAAUCAUGCAUGGAAUUUAUUCUCAUGCUUUUGGGGGUCUCUGCAUAGAAUUAUUGUGGGAUGGUGUCAAUUUGUGCAUUCUCAAAUUGGAUUCUUUAACACUUCUGUGGACAUUAUUCUCAUUUACUGGUGCAUUUUUAGGUAAAGAGGGUAUCUUUCCAUGUUCAUCUAACUUUAGGAGAAUGGUUUCAGUUUCCAGAAAUAAAGAUGAAAUUAUGCUUCCCUGUGAAUGGUGCUGGCGAGGAAAGCGUUUCCCCUGUUAACUUUUCUUUUUUCCUGUAUUUUUUCUUUUUCUUUCUUUGUUGCAAUUCUCUACAAAUUUCUACUGCAUGUUACAACCUUUGCGAGCAACCCUCUUUCCUUUCAAGAACUAUUUUUCUUUUCCCUUUUUUAUGUUUUUUUUGGGGGGGGGGGGGGUGCGGUGGGGAGUGCUGGGGCGGAUGAGUGGUUUUGAAGGUACUGGAGCUUUUUGCGGUUUACUUUGGAUCAUCAGUCUCUAUCAAAUGGUAAUUGUGCUUUUUUUUUUUCCUGUCCGCAGAUUAAAGAUCCUUACUUGAAUUUUUUGAGUAGAAUGAUAUUUGUUAUUUGUCGCCGUCAAUCAUUAUUUUGUAUCUAUUGAUUAUUCUUAACUUCUAAAGCAUGCCUUGUGAUAUUAAUGUUUGCUGUUGUGGUGAGCCCACUCUACUAUAUCCACACCCUGUGAAAGGGUAUUGCAGAGUGAUAUUGAAUUCAAUGAUGUCUGUGUUGUAGCAGGAAAAUGUAAUCUAUUUGUAGGAGAUUGGAUUCCGGAUUCUACUGGUCCAUAUUACUCCAAUAGUACGUGCUCUUUGAUUGAAGGCCAUCAAAAUUGCAUGAAGAAUGGCCGUCCCGAUACCGGUUACAUCUAUUGGAGAUGGAAUCCAAGAGACUGUGAUUUACCCAAGUUUAACGCAAAACGGUUUCUGGAUUUUGUGAGGAACAAAUCAUUAGCCUUUAUUGGUGAUUCAAUAAUGCGUAAUCAUGCCCAAUCAUUGGUUUGCACUCUUUCUCAGGUAUAAUUUGAGCUUUUCAAGUCCAUGGAUAUCUGUAUUCCUCUAAUUUGUGUCUGGCAGUGUUCUGUGAUGAUCUCUUUAAUAUUUUUCGUUGGUUCUUAACUAGUAAUUUGUAUGAUGAACAUGAUCAGAUUUACGUUGAAGUGGUCCUUUGGUCAUAUUUUCAUCUAAAUCAGUGGGAAAUCAUCUGCAGUCUAAAAUUUUCCUGUUUUAUACAUGAAGUUAAUGAAAACAAGAGAUUUUGUUGGGUCUCAUGGUAAGGUUCUUUUUCUUUGAAUUGGAGCUUUCACAACAUUGCAUUCUACUACCAUAAUUAGAAAUGACAGAUAAUCAACAUUUGCAUAUGGUUGGAGUCAUAUCUGCUUAGUCAUGCAGCUGAGACAUGCUCUAUCCAAUUAGGACAUUAGUCAAUAUCAAAAUGAAAUAUCAUACCAAUAAGCCUUGAGGUUUAAGAUUUUUAGAUCACUUCCUCUCUGGUGCCAAAUUUCCUUGAUUGCAGUGACCCAUGACCUGUAAUAACCAACCUUUAAGGUUACCAUCCAUGGAUACCUCUGUCCACUAGCUACUGCCAUAAUUAUCCUUCCAUAGUCUUCAUGAGAAAAAGAUUUCUGAAGUUUACUUCAUGGGGGAGGCUGCAUGCUUGUUCUUGGCGAAAGACUUGGCACUUAGUAAUAUCAGCCAUUUUGGGAAAUUCAAUCACUAGGUAUUAUCCUUUAGUAAAUUCAGAUUUAUCUGUGUCUUAUUCUUCCCCAUUUUGCCCGUAUGAAAUCAGUUCAUUGCUGCCUCACUCAUUUCACUAUAGCCCAUUUUAUUAAAUACCGUUUGGUCUAAUCUUUAGUCAGAAUCUGCCCAUUUCAAAGCACUUACAUGUGGCAGGUGGAAGAAGCUGUGGAGGUCUACCAUGACAAGCAAUACAAGAGCAAGAGAUGGUCUUUCCCUGCUCACAACUUUACUUUGUCUGUUAUUUGGUCUCCGUUCUUGGCCAAAGCCACCAUCUUUGAAGACGACAAUGGGAUGUCAACAGACAUAAUUCAGCUCCAUCUUGAUGAAUUGGAUGCAGUGUGGACACAACAGUAUAACAAUUUUGAUUACCUAGUGACUGCCGGGGGAAAAUGGUUUCUCAAAGCUACGGUUUACUAUGAGAACAAUACAAUUGUUGGCUGCCAUAACUGCCAGAGAGAGAAUAUUACAGAAGUAGGAUUCUAUUACGCCUAUGGCAAGGUAAUAAAUUCUACCCUAAAAUUUAUUACAAGCUCAAAGCACAGGGUGUACGCAUUCCUCAGAACUACCACUCCUGAUCACUUUGAGAAUGGUGAAUGGCACAAUGGUGGUUAUUGCAACAGGACGAAGCCAUUUAAAGAAGGUGAGGUUGACAUGAAUCCCAUAGAUGAAAUGUUGCGUAAGGUUGAAUUAGAAGAGUUUGAGAUGGCAUCGACUAUUGGAUCUCAGAAUGGGAUAACCUUGAAAUUAUUUGAUACAAGUUAUCUUUCUUUACUGAGGCCUGAUGGGCACCCAGGAGCUUACCGGCAUUUUCAGCCAUUUGCUGGAAAGGAUAGGAAUGUAAAAGUCCAAAAUGAUUGUCUCCAUUGGUGCUUGCCCGGGCCCAUAGACUCUUGGAAUGAUUUGAUGCUGAAUGUGCUGCUGAACAGUUGAAAAAUUGUGAUGGUUAAGCCAGAAAUCUUGUGUGCACUAUAUUUUUGGGUGUUUUGAAUGAUCCUGAUGGUCUCAAAGAAGGAAAAGGUUGCUCCAUAUUGGAAUGGCUAUGCCAGCAUCGAGAUUUUUUGCAGAUUGCAUUUCCUAAUCUGAUGCCUAGUGUGCGUACCGUGUAGAGCGACGCUCAGGAAGAUUGAAGCCAGUUUCACUUGUAGCCUUUUGUUUUUCUGGGUAUAUGCAAAAUGGAGUCAUGAUUAUGAGACCCAUGUAGAAUCAUAGAUUCAGUUCAAGAGUAAACAUGAGAUUUGUGGCUCAUAAGAUUCAUAAUUGUGUCUAUAUAACAUCUCCAUUCUUUUGGAAGCACCGCCAAUUUUACUCCUCAGCGAUGCCAGCAUGCGAUCUAUCAAGGGACUAUCAACACAUCAAUUUUAUGCGGCAGAUGUAAGUUAACAUUGCUCCAGCCAUCAUUAUCAAUGGGGAUGGUCAUUUAAGGUUCAAGAAAAAUGCAGGGCAUUCCCAGAGUCAACUGGAUUCUCGUAUGGGGGUAGUGUGUCAGUCCAUUUACUGACUAAGAAACUGACUUUGCUUUCUUCCUCAAGGCUCUCUGUAACAACGGCGACCCACUCGUUGCCAUUUAUUUUGAAUCAAUUAAUAGACUUAUGACCGGUCGCAGUUCUCGAGCCCCAACCGGAAAAGCCACCAUAAGCUUUUGCAAACAUCAGCCUCGGCUUUGUAUCCUUUCAGUGACCACAAAAAAGUACGCCUCUGGAAGGAGGUGGGCUAUAGUAUUGGCACCGUCUGUGAUUGGCGAAACCUGUAAUUCCACAGGGACACUGGAGAGAAAACGAAGCAAGAAAGUCCUAAUUGCCUAGGUUGAGACCUUAAAAUAUAGAGGUUAAAUCCUCUGCUCCCUCCCGUGUCUUUAAUCCCACCCCCUUCCUUGCUAAGAAAAAGAAAAAUUUUAAGAGUCCGAAUUGCAGAGAUUUUUUCCAUCCUUUCUCCCCUUAGCAUGAAUUUGACAAUUCUUCGUCAUUGCUCUACUCAGAAGUCUGGAAGCUACCGCGCAUCCAACAGAGCGCAAGUAGUGCAAAUUGUGAUUUAUCUUGAGUUUGUCGGAUAUGGAUGCAUCUUGACUUUGAGCCUGUGAAAACCAAACUCCAAUCCUCUACUGGCAAAACUAAUGCGCAAACUGCAAAUUCAAGUCAGUCUGUGGAUUGCCGAAAAGCUCAUGCAGUGACAUGGAAUGAAAUUUUGCCGGCCUAGGUCUUCAAACAAGCACCACUAGUAGUUAUGAAACCAUCCAUUCUCUUCAAGAAACAAGAACAGCAAAAAAGAAAGAACCUAGCUUGCAAGACUUCUACUGUUUUCAAUACAUGCAGAUAUAUCACGGGAACCAUGAAACUACUUGUGCCACCGGAACGACCUUUGCCACCUCCAAGACAACAGGCAGAGAAGAACUGGAAAGCAACUUUUGGUGGACGAAAGCAAUCCUGCAGUGAUUCCUGUUUUGCGCAGCGGUGAAUUCAUCACCCGUACGGACGAAAAUGAAUUCAUUUCAGGCAACGAGUCUACACAAGUUUCACGCGAAAUAUUCAGUUCAGUUCUACAUGAUGUACUAAGUUCUGCCGUAUACAGCAAAAAGAUGGGAGGCGGAAAAGCUCAGACUUGCUAGAGAAAAACCAGGAAAAACAGUUGAUGACGGAGAGUUUUAUAGUAUAGUCUUAUAACAGGAUAAUUCCUCAUUCUUUUUGAGAAGAAUAACCACGAUAUAACGGGAUCUAGCACACUGUAUACCUUUUUGACAAGUCACAUUCUCCAUAUUUGUACUGAAUCAGUCCAAAUCUUACCAAAAGAUUGAGAAGGCAGCCCAAAAGAUGUUUACAUCAAUAAGAACUGAACAACUGCAGGUUAUCCAUCCAAACUGAAAGAAAAUUCUACAUGUAACUGGCAAAAAUCAACUUAUCCAAACAAAUAUUUAUUCCAACAUAAACUCAAAAACAUCAGUUCUGAUAACAUGCUCAGAAAUGGACACUGAAAGCCAGGAUAAAUCACAUUGAAGAAGGAUUUUUUCCCCUCUUAUUU
rnacentral:lncRNA from 1 species